rnacentral:tRNA from 1 species
GGUGUGGUCGUCGAUGUUGCCGUAGACCGCUACCACCGGUUUUCCAGUGGCUUCAAGGGCAUCCAUGCUCUCGUGCGAACCGAUGUCACCCGC